GACGAACGCUGGCGGCGUGCUUAACACAUGCAAGUCGAACGGAAAGGCCCUGCUUUUGUGGUGUGCUCGAGUGGCGAACGGGUGAGUAACACGUGAGUAACCUGCCCUUGACUUUGGGAUAACUUCAGGUAACUGGGGCUAAUACCGGAUAGGAGCUCCUGCUGCAGGGUGGGGGUUGGAACGUUUCGGCGGUUGGGGAUGGACUCGCGGCUUAUGAGCUUGUUGGUGGGGUAGUGGCUUACCAAGGCUUUGACGGGUAGCCGGCCUGAGAGGGUGACCGGCGACAUUGGGACUGAGAUACGGCCCAGACUCCUACGGGAGACAGCAGUGGGGAGUAUUGCACAGUGAGCGGAAGCCUGAUGCGGCGACGCCCGGUGCGGGAUGACGGCCUUCGGGUUGAGAACCGCAUUCGCCUGUGACGAAGCGUGAGUGACGGUAAUGGGUAAAGAAGCACCGGCUAACUACGUG
rnacentral:rRNA from 1 species